UAGUCCUGGCGGCAGUGGGAGGAGAAGAAGCCAAGCGGGACCCAGCUGCGGCCAUGGUCCUGGGACUUGAGCAGAGCCACGGAGGCGGGGGGCACCGAGCAGAAGCGCAGGCUCACGAAGACCAGCUCGAAAGCCUUGCCCAGGGCCACCGUGAGGGUCACGUUGAGGGGCGCCCGUGAAAGCAAGUCCGAGCGCCAGCAGAGUGGGCCCGUGGUGACUCCCGCCGAGGGUUGCAGGUUCUGUGUCUUCCGAGGAGCCUGGGCACACCACACACCUGGGGAGGGGGGACUUCAAACUGUGCCAGGGCGAAUGCACCCAGUGACACCAGGUGACCUCCCCAGCAGGCUCGCCCCCUGCCUUCUGAGCACCAGGGUGUGCACGACCUCGCCAGCAAGACAAAACACAAAGAUGCAAUGCAGGUAGUCAGGGCUGCAGAACGGGCAAUUCUGAAAAAGCACGGCUCAAGAUGGCAUGGGAAGGAGACUGCUUUCUGGAAUCUUCCUUUUGACUGGGACUCCUUUUAUCCUGCGUGUGCACCCCUCCUCCCCAUCAAGAAACAACCAGUU